rnacentral:rRNA from 1 species
UACGUAGGGUGCGAGCGUUAUCCGGAAUUAUUGGGCGUAAAAGAGCUCGUAGGCGGUUUGUCGCGUCUGCUGUGAAAACUGGAGGCUCAACCUCCAGCCUGCAGUGGGUACGGGCAAACUAGAGUGCGGUAGGGGAGAUUGGAAUUCCUGGUGUAGCGGUGGAAUGCGCAGAUAUCAGGAGGAACACCGAUGGCGAAGGCAGAUCUCUGGGCCGUAACUGACGCUGAGGAGCGAAAGCAUGGGGAGCGAACAGG